rnacentral:rRNA from 1 species
UACGGAGGGUGCGAGCGUUGUCCGGAAUCACUGGGCGUAAAGGGCGCGUAGGCGGCCCGCACAAGUCUGCGGUGAAAACCUCCGGCUUAACCGGGGGCCGGCCGUGGAAACUGUCGGGCUGGAGGCUGGGAGAGGGCAGCGGAAUUCCCGGUGUAGCGGUGAAAUGCGUAGAGAUCGGGAGGAACACCGGCGGCGAAGGCGGCUGCCUGGACCAGUCCUGACGCUGAGG